GACGAACGCUGGCGGCGUGCCUAACACAUGCAAGUCGAACGCGAGAGGGGCUUCGGCCCCGAUUGAGUGGCGAACGGGUGAGUAACGCGUGGGUGACCUACCUUCGAGUGGGGGAUAACGUCCCGAAAGGGACGCUAAUACCACAUAACAUCCUGCUUUUGAAUGGGUGGAGAUCAAAGCCGGGGAUCGCAAGACCUGGCGCUUGAUGAGGGGCCCGCGUCUGAUUAGCUAGUUGGUGAGGUAACGGCCCACCAAGGCAACGAUCAGUAUCCGGCCUGAGAGGGCGGACGGACACACUGGGACUGAGACACGGCCCAGACUCCUACGGGAGGCAGCAGUGGGGAAUUGUUCGCAAUGGGCGCAAGCCUGACGACGCAACGCCGCGUGGAGGAUGAAGGUCUUCGGAUUGUAAACUCCUGUUGCCCGGGACGAAUGGCUCCGACCUAACACGUCGGAGUGUGACGGUACCGGGUGAGGAAGCCCCGGCUAACUCUGUGCCAGCAGCCGCUGUAA
rnacentral:rRNA from 1 species